GCUCCGUAGUUGAACCUUGGGCCUGGCUGGCCGGUCCGCCUCCACCGCGUGCACUGGUCCGGCCGGGUCUUUCCCCUCUGGGGAACCGCAUGCCCUUCACUGGGUGUGCUGGGGAACCAGGACUUUUACUUUGAAAAAAUUAGAGUGUUCAAAGCAGGCCUAUGCUCGAAUACAUUAGCAUGGAAUAAUAGAAUAGGACGUGUGGUUCUAUUUUGUUGGUUUCUAGGACCGCCGUAAUGAUUAAUAGGGACAGUCGGGGGCAUCAGUAUUCAAUUGUCAGAGGUGAAAUUCUUGGAUUUAUUGAAGACUAACUACUGCGAAAGCAUUUGCCAAGGAUGUUUUCAUUAAUCAGGAACGAAAGUUAGGGGAUCGAAGACGAUCAGAUACCGUCGUAGUCUUAACCAUAAACUAUGCCGACUAGGGAUCGGACGAAGUUAUUUUUUGACUCGUUCGGCACCUUACACGAAAGUAUAAGUUUCUGGGUUCUGGGGGGAGUAUGGUCGCAAGGCUGAAACUUAAAGAAAUUGACGGAAGGGCACCACCAGGGGUGGAGCCUGCGGCUUAAUU
rnacentral:rRNA from 1 species